rnacentral:rRNA from 1 species
UACGUAGGGUCCGAGCGUUAAUCGGAAUUACUGAGCGUAAAGCGUGCGCAGGCGGUUCGCAAAGACAGGUGUGAAAUCCCCGGGCUUAACCUGGGAACUGCGCUUGUAACUAGCGGGCUAGAGUGCGGCAGAGGGGGGUGGAAUUCCACGUGUAGCAGUGAAAUGCGUAGAUAUGUGGAGGAACACCGAUGGCGAAGGCAGCCCCCUGGGUCGACACUGGACGCUCAUGCACAAAAGCGUGGGGAGCAAACAGG